UGCCCAGCAACUCCUAUCCCUACCUCCUCGCAGUACCGGCCGGAAACUAUGAGCAACCUUAGGGAAGAUCGGGUAACCAACCCCUGUGAGAACUUUGGUCGUAGGCUGACAGGGAAAG
rnacentral:ribozyme from 1 species